rnacentral:rRNA from 1 species
AGUCGAGCGAGCUUGCCUAGAUGAUUUUAGUGCUUGCACUAAAUGAAACUAGAUACAAGCGAGCGGCGGACGGGUGAGUAACACGUGGGUAACCUGCCCAAGAGACUGGGAUAACACCUGGAAACAGAUGCUAAUACCGGAUAACAACACUAGACGCAUGUCUAGAGUUUGAAAGAUGGUUCUGCUAUCACUCUUGGAUGGACCUGCGGUGCAUUAGCUAGUUGGUAAGGUAACGGCUUACCAAGGCAAUGAUGCAUAGCCGAGUUGAGAGACUGAUCGGCCACAUUGGGACUGAGACACGGCCCAAACUCCUACGGGAGGCAGCAGUAGGGAAUCUUCCACAAUGGACGAAAGUCUGAUGGAGCAACGCCGCGUGAGUGAAGAAGGGUUUCGGCUCGUAAAGCUCUGUUGGUAGUGAAGAAAGAUAGAGGUAGUAACUGGCCUUUAUUUGACGGUAAUUACUUAGAAAGUCACGGCUAACUACGUGCCAGCAGCCGCGGUAAUACGUAGGUGGCAAGCGUUGUCCGGAUUUAUUGGGCGUAAAGCGAGUGCAGGCGGUUCAAUAAGUCUGAUGUGAAAGCCUUCGGCUCAACCGGAGAAUUGCAUCAGAAACUGUUGAACUUGAGUGCAGAAGAGGAGAGUGGAACUCCAUGUGUAGCGGUGGAAUGCGUAGAUAUAUGGAAGAACACCAGUGGCGAAGGCGGCUCUCUGGUCUGCAACUGACGCUGAGGCUCGAAAGCAUGGGUAGCGAACAGGAUUAGAUACCCUGGUAGUCCAUGCCGUAAACGAUGAGU